AUUAAACGCUGGCGGCAUGCCUUACACAUGCAAGUCGAACGGCAGCACGGGGGCAACCCUGGUGGCGAGUGGCGGACGGGUGAGUAACACAUCGGAACGUGCCCUGGAGUGGGGGAUAACGCAGCGAAAGCUACGCUAAUACCGCAUAUUCUGUGAGCAGGAAAGCAGGGGAUCGCAAGACCUUGCGCUUUGGGAGCGGCCGAUGUCGGAUUAGCUAGUUGGUGGGGUAAAGGCUUACCAAGGCGACGAUCCGUAGCGGGUCUGAGAGGAUGAUCCGCCACACUGGGACUGAGACACGGCCCAGACUCCUACGGGAGGCAGCAGUGGGGAAUUUUGGACAAUGGGCGCAAGCCUGAUCCAGCCAUGCCGCGUGUCUGAAGAAGGCCUCGGUUGUAAGGAC
rnacentral:rRNA from 1 species